GCAGUCCCCUGGGCUUCCUGCAGGGACCUGGAUUCUUAGUAUUUCAGGCUGCUGUCCCUUUUUUUUUUUCAUUUCCUUUUUGUUUUUGUUGUUGAUGUGACCGCGUGUCCACAACCCUGGGAUUCCCUCGCCCUCAGAUUCCAGAAUCCAAUUUCUUGGAUUUCAGUGUUUUUAAGGAUUCCGUGAGUCAGGAGCUUGGCCAGGCUCAGCUGGGACACUCAUCUUUGCUUCACCUCAUGUCAGCUGCAGCAUCUUAGGAAUGCAAGACAGCCUCAUUCACAUCCGGCGGCGGGUGCUGGCUGUCCACUGGGUGCCUUCGCUCUUUUUCAAGUGGUUUCUCAUCCUCUGGGGUUUCACUGUCUCCAUGUGGCCUCCCUAGCAAGUUGCUUAGAUUUCUUUACGUGGAAACUGGCUUUCUCAUGGCAGCCUCUCCAGGGGCUGGCGUUCCUGAUGGAGGGGAACCAGCAGCUUCAAGCAGAAGCCAAAAAGACACCCCAUCCUGGCCCUCCAGACGUCCUGGAGCCCUACUAGCAGUGUCUGUGAAAAGCCUUUCAAGGCGACCUUGUGGGUUCCAACACACAGUCGUUUAAAUGGUUUAUUGCCCCAUAAACAGGGCUCCGCAAGGACGCUGCAAGCUGUGUUAUUUCAAAUGCUCAGUAUCUGUCUUUUCAGGGUUUGGAUUUACCUUUCCCGGCUGUGGGUACUUCCUUAUUCUGGGCAGGCUGACAUUUGUCGAAGCAAAGUGGAUAUACUGGGCUGGCAGAAUGCCCUCCCACCUCUCGGGCCUGCAUGAGGAGGAGCUGGAGGAAUGUUCUUCCUCUUGCUUC
rnacentral:lncRNA from 1 species